UGGUUCCCUGACUUUCUGACCCCAGAGGUGGCCCUGCUGUUCUCAUCUGCAGCUUGCAACUAACUGUUCGUGCCUACGCAUCAUAGAUAGUGGUUACCACAAUACCAUUUCCUGCCGCCUGGAGGGAAGACAGAGUAAUUGUUGGCAGCAAGAGAGUGGAACCUGGAGAUGAUGUGGGCAUGUUGGUUUUCAAAGGAAAAGACCUGAGCCUCCACCUUAAGAGACAGACUCACCCUCUCCAACCUAGUGGGGGUGAAUGUUGCCCCCAGCUCCUCAGAUACCCGCUUGGUACUAGGCUUGUUCUCCAGGCUUAUUAGAAGAGUACCCCUUACUCUAACCCAACAUCCUCAAUGAUUAUCACCCCUGCCUCCUAGCUCCCAUGUCCACCCCCAUGGCAGGGCCCCCACAGAAGCAAAACAUAGUCACCUUAGACUCUGGCAUACUGAAGCCAGGCCCUGUUCCUGUCAGCCUCACCUUCCUGCUAACUUGUAUUUAAUAAAAAUAUUAUUAAAUGGUA